CCAGACUCCUACGGGAGGCAGCAGUCGGGAAUAUUGCGCAAUGGAGGAAACUCUGACGCAGUGACGCCGCGUAUAGGAAGAAGGUUUUCGGAUUGUAAACUAUUGUCCACAGGGAGGAAAAAAGACUGUACCUGUGAAGAAAGCUCCGGCUAACUACGUGCCAGCAGCCGCGGUAAUACGUAGGGAGCAAGCGUUGUCCGGAAUUACUGGGUGUAAAGGGAGCGUAGGCGGGAUGGCAAGUUGGGUGUUAAAACUACCGGCUCAACUGGUAGUCGCACUCAAAACUGCUAUUCUUGAGUGAAGUAGAGGCAGGCGGAAUUCCUAGUGUAGCGGUGAAAUGCGUAGAUAUUAGGAGGAACACCAGUGGCGAAGGCGGCCUGCUGGGCUUUUACUGACGCUGAGGCUCGAAAGUGUGGGGAGCAAACAGGAUUAGAUACCCUCGUACCA
rnacentral:rRNA from 1 species